rnacentral:rRNA from 1 species
CGCGUAGGAAUCUACCCAGUAGUGGGGGACAACAGUCGGAAACGGCUGCUAAUACCGCAUACGCCCUACGGGGGAAAGCGGGGGACCUUCGGGCCUCGCGCUAUUGGAUGAGCCUGCGUAAGAUUAGCUUGUUGGUGAGGUAAGAGCUCACCAAGGCGACGAUCUUUAGCUGGUCUGAGAGGAUGAUCAGCCACACUGGAACUGAGACACGGUCCAGACUCCUACGGGAGGCAGCAGUGGGGAAUAUUGCACAAUGGGCACAAGCCUGAUGCAGCCAUGCCGCGUGUGUGAAGAAGGCCU